rnacentral:rRNA from 1 species
AUACGUAGGUGGCAAGCGUUGUCCGGAUUUAUUGGGCGUAAAGCGAGCGCAGGCGGUUCUUUUAGGCUGAUGUGAAAGCCCCCGGCUCAAACGGGGAGGGGCAUUGGAAACUGGGGGACUUGUGGGCAGAAGAGGGGAGUGGAAUUCCAUGUGUAGCGGGGAAAUGCGUAGAUAUAUGGAGGAACACCAGUGGCGAAGGCGGCUCUCUGGUCUGUAACUGACGCUGAGGCUCGAAAGCGUGGGGAGCAAACAGGAUUAGAUACCCUGGUAGUCCACGCCGUAAACGACGAGUGCUAAGUGUUGGAGGGUUUCCGCCCUUCAGUGCUGCAGCUAACGCAUUAAGCACUCCGCCUGGGGAGUACGGCCGCAAGGCUGAAACUCAAAGGAAUUGACGGGG